rnacentral:tRNA from 1 species
AUCGCCGAUUGUAGUGGCCAAGCAUAGCAGGCUCUGGCCCUGCUGACGGGAGUUCGAAUCUCCCCCGGGCUA